rnacentral:rRNA from 1 species
AUUGAACGCUGGCGGCAGGCCUAACACAUGCAAGUCGAACGGUAACAGGAAGCAGCUUGCUGCUUUGCUGACGAGUGGCGGACGGGUGAGUAAUGUCUGGGAAACUGCCUGAUGGAGGGGGAUAACUACUGGAAACGGUAGCUAAUACCGCAUAGCGUCGCAAGACCAAAGAGGGGGACCUUCGGGCCUCUUGCCAUCGGAUGUGCCCAGAUGGGAUUAGCUAGUAGGUGGGGUAACGGCUCACCUAGGCGACGAUCCCUAGCUGGUCUGAGAGGAUGACCAGCCACACUGGAACUGAGACACGGUCCAGACUCCUACGGGAGGCAGCAGUGGGGAAUAUUGCACAAUGGGCGCAAGCCUGAUGCAGCCAUGCCGCGUGUAUGAAGAAGGCCUUCGGGUUGUAAAGUACUUUCAGCGGGGAGGAAGGGAGUAAAGUUAAUACCUUUGCUCAUUGACGUUACCCGCAGAAGAAGCACCGGCUAACUCCGUG